AUGAGAUAGCUAUCUAACCUUACAAACAUUUACAACUUCCAGAUCUUAACUAGCAUCUAUUAUGAUCUUCCACACAUAUUUAAUAAUCAGCAUAAUGAACUACAAGUCAGUACUACUACAUUAUUCUAUAUCCAAAAAGAGAAUAGUAAGAGACAUAAAACAAUUAAAUUUAAUCAUAUGCUUUUCAAAUGUAGAGACAUCAAACACACAAUUGUAUUAUUACAAAUCUUGAUUUGAGUACACCAAACUUCAGAUUCACCCCUUAUCACACAUUAGAAGGUGAGAUGAAUACCUGGAAAAAGACGAAUAAGAGUGAAUUGAGAAGAGCAACAGCCAACAACAUUAAACAAACCCAGAUCCAACUAGUUUUCUAAACCUAGAAAAUGAAGCAAACAGUCCAGAAAAUCAAUUUCAAAUCCAGCAAUAAAAGUCGAACCAGAAAUAUAGCAAAAGCACUUGAACACCAACUGAUUCAACUCAUUUUAAUCUUCGGUUGCUCGAAAAUUAACUCGGAAUGAAUAUCACAGGAAUUUCUAAAGAUCUUUUUCAAUAGAACAGUAAAUUAUUUUUUUUGUAUUUUUAGCCAUCUGGGAUUUUAGGGAUUUC
rnacentral:lncRNA from 1 species